rnacentral:rRNA from 1 species
UACGUAGGGGGCAAGCGUUGUCCGGAAUCAUUGGGCGUAAAGGGCUCGUAGGCGGCCAACUAAGUCAGACGUGAAAUCCCUCGGCUUAACCGGGGAACUGCGUCUGAUACUGGAUGGCUUGAGAUUGGGAGAGGGAUGCGGAAUUCCAGGUGUAGCGGUGAAAUGCGUAGAUAUCUGGAGGAACACCAAUGGCGAAGGCAGCUCGCUGGGACGGUACUGACGCUGAGGCGCGAAAGCGUGGGAGCAAACAGG